CGGGUGCGUAACACGUGAACAACCUGCCCUCGUGUGGGGGAUAGCCAUGCUAACGCGUGGGUAAUACCGCAUACGUUCUCUGAAGGGAGUCCUUUGGAGAGGAAAGCUCCGGCGCACGGGGAGGGGUUCGCGGCCUAUCAGCUAGUUGGCGGGGUAAUGGCCCACCAAGGCGACGACGGGUAGCUGGUCUGAGAGGAUGGCCAGCCACAUUGGGACUGAGAGACGGCCCAG
rnacentral:rRNA from 1 species